CAACAGUUCCCAUACAGUUACCCACCUUGUUCACUUCUUAACAUAAUCUUCAUUUUUGUGCAGAGAUAGAAAACACAUUAAUUACAGUUAAGAACAGACAUCAAUAAAAAGUCAUUAUUCUUAUGAAGUUCUUAUUACCUGAGUAACAGGCAACAGAAUUGACCAAGAAAUGCAUAAACAAGCAUACAGAACAAAGCAGUACAUCUUUCAGUGUUGACUGUAUCAAUCCCGGGUGAGUCCCAGUAGGUCCCUGGCUUUUAUGUCGUGUUGUUUUGGACAGUGGCCCAGUCUUGAAGAACUCCAGCUGCAGUGUGGUGGUGAUCUGUUCCAAGGAGCUGAAGCAUUUGUGAGAAUCCAGAUUUUGCACAUGAGCUCAGAACAGACCGCAUUUACAAAUCUAUAAACUCAGUACCUUGCUUUGGAAUCUGUGUUCUCCACAGACAAAAAGAGAAAAGAAGAUUCCAUGUGUGUGCCCUGAUUUGCUCUGGAUGACUGCAGUGAUUCUAGACCUCUAACAACUCAGUGGGAUACCUGAACCUGUUGAGAAAAGGCAGAUGUUGUCAGUUCUGCUUCUCCUAACAGCACUCUAGUGCACUGUCAAACAUGUUCAUCAAUUAACAAGGAGAAUAAUACCCCAGAUUUUUGUAAUGUCCUACUAAUGAUUAAAAUGGUGAAUGAAACGAUGCUGACUAUAAAAAAAGGGGAGAGCUCCACACUGCACAUGUGCCAAUGUCCUGUAUACCUUUUUCUAUUAAAUCUACAUUACUAGCUGGCAGUAGGCAUCUGUUUUUCUUUUUCUCUUAGGAAAAUACAUUGCUGCUUUACCUGUUCUUCAUCUUGUUUUAUUUUACUUAUCUUCAGGAAUUAUGUCUUGGAGGGAUUUUCUGUGCUAUUCAGAACUUGACUGCUGAAGAUCAGUGGCUUUUACGUUUGCUUGUCAAUGGCAGAUGUUUGUGUAAUCCCAUGUUCCAUACUCAGAGUGCUGGACGUUACAGCCUUGACAUUUGGCCUAAGAUUGAGGAUUUGCUAUUAGUAUUUCCCCAGGAAACUGACACUUGAUGGACAGUAUACAUAAUCCAUGCUCAGAUACAUUUCUUGGUGAAUUGAUGUCCUUUGCAAGUCGAUGCAGGCAAAGACACAAAUGUAGUGGAUCACCACCUCUUCCCCACCCACACUCUAUUUUAAUAAAAUGCAACAUGCAUCGCAGCUUAAGCUAUGAAGCAUAUAAAUCUGCAACAUGCAGCUUGAAACUUGCUUACAAAACACUAUGAGUGCCUUUCACAUUUCCCUAGUGUUUAUUUACUUAUGCAGGAAGCCUAGAAAAGUAUUUUGAUGUAUUGCAUGCCAUAAUUUUUAACAUUACUCAAAAUGUUUCAAAAGAUUUUUAGUGAAAGUUAACCCACAUCAAUCAUAACUGUGACAUGAAAAAUUACUGACAACCUUUAAAUAAAGGAGGAGAGGGAGCAAGGACUCUAAUACUCCUGGCUAAUGCAGAAUUGUUCAAAACAUUCAAAGUGUUAUGCACAUACUCUGUCUACACUCGAACUAUAUAAAAGGAAGCCAAUCAUUUAUUACCAUGGCAAAUGUAAUUAAAGAUCUUUUAUCUUUUCAACUUAUAGGAUCCCGGAAUGUGCACUUUAUAUAGUGAGAAUUAUAUUUAGUAACUAUUGUAUUAGUAACUAUAGUAACUCUUUCUACUUCAGAUUAACAUGGAUUUCAGUGAUUACUCCGGGAGCUUUUCAAAGUUAAUAAAAAAGUGCAUUCAGGCUGUGACUCUGUAAGAUGUUUUGCUCCUUCCACACUGUAUAUCCUCAGAGGAAGAUGUACCUGUUCCCAAACAAAAGAUGAUAUUGGAGUAAACAGGCUGACUGGCUUUCCCAGUAUUCUUCUUUGGAAUGAAAAAAAAACUA